rnacentral:rRNA from 1 species
AUGGCGGGCGGGAAUCCGGAUUCUCCAUUGGACGCAGAACUCAUGGUCAGUAACCUUCCACAGAUGUCGCCAACCCAUGUCAACAUAAGCAAACGUUACAUUCUUCAGCAAGCCACAAACACUCUUAACCUACAAAUCACUGACCAUGACAUACUUGACAUGGGGGAACAUGGCCUAAUUGCCUCUCUUUCAAUCAAUUUACCACCUCAUAGAGGCUGGGCAGCCACAGAACACAAAAAAAUUUAUGGGGAUUUCAAAAGUACAUCCCUCGAAGCUGCUGAAUCAGCUAAUGUGGCUGCCAUAAGCUAUCUACAAGGAAACAACAUAGCAGUGUUUGAUGAUGCAAACCUACAGCCCCUGAAGAAAUGCAGAAGAGAACUUCUACAAGCAACAUCCUGGUCAUGGGGUUUUGAGCAAUCUACUAUGCAUCUUAAAAAACAAGUUGAAGCCAUGGAAAGAGAUAGGGUGCAACCAUUAACAUUACUGCUUUCAUCCAAUGAUGACGAUCCAAAUACACCACUUCUUCAGGAACCCGAUGAAGAAUUGGUUCCAACACCUGAAGCAGAACCACAGUUUAAUGGCAGCGCAAUGAACACACCGCCAGCUGAAGUGAUCUCUAACCUCUUUCUCGUCACCAGCAAGCUGGAACCAGAAAGCGAAGACAACGGAACUACUAGGGUGUCUGGAAAAAGAAGUGCAAAGAGAGCGUUGUUCAACCAUGCCAAUCAGCUAUAA